UGGCGACCGGCGCACGGGUGAGUAACACGUAUCCAACCUGCCGAGUAACUCGGGGAUAGCCUUUCGAAAGAAAGAUUAAUAUCCGAUAGGAUAUCAAGAUCGCAUGAUCUUGAUAUUAAAGAAUUUCGGUUAUCGAUGGGGAUGCGUUCCAUUAGUUAGUUGGCGGGGUAACGGCCCACCAAGACGACGAUGGAUAGGGGUUCUGAGAGGAACGGUCCCCCACAUUGGAACUGAGACACGGUCCAAACUCCUACGGAAGGCAGCAG
rnacentral:rRNA from 1 species